rnacentral:lncRNA from 10 species
AUUUAGAUGGGCUUUCAGUGCUGAUUGUGAAGCCAGGAGAGUUGGUUACCCCAGGGCUUAUUGCGAGUGAUGAGUAAUGCAUGGUUGUUUCUUGUGGUCUAGAUGUGGAAUGUACUGGCAGAUGCAAAGGUUUUCUACUAUUCGCAUGAGGACAGUGAGAUACAGAACUUUCACGACAAGUCAGGCAAAGCAAAUUUAUUAUUCACUGAUAGACAGCAAAAACACAUAGUCUAGGAUCCAUGGUGGGCUGGUCCCCCGGGGCUCAGGAAAGCUCUCCAGUGUGGAUAGAGUCUUGUCUGUGUGUGUCCCAUAUUGUACUGAAGCUGAGGUACCCGCAAAGCACAUCAUCUUGUAUUUUGCGCCUUGGGUAUCAUUUGCUCCCUAAGCUCAAGUUUUGCAGAAUAUCCUGCUCUAGAAGGAACAUAGUUCUGGCUAUUCUAGCCUGUUUCUUUUUUUCUUAUGUUAAUGCAUUCUGCAGAAAUUCUACAGUAAUUCUGAGAACUACAAGUUGGAGAGGGGAGAGCUGGGUCGAAAAAGGCCACUUGAGGACCUGCCCUCCUACAGCAGGGACAUUUGUAUCUAAAGAGUGCUGCCUAUAGGGGAGCAGCAACUUGGAAGAAAAGGCCUAAUACUUAAGGGUCAAGGAAGGAGUUGCAAGUGAUCACCCAGCCUGGAGAAGCAUCUGCCCGAGUCAAGGAAACUUUACAAGAGAAAUCCCCAGUGUGCACCCCUAUGAAGAGCCUACAAUGGUAUGUCUACAAGAGUGAGUCAUCCUUACUUCUGCCAGACCCAGAUAGUUGCAAGCUGUCUUUGCUACCAUUUCAGGAUGGAGUCUCCCUCUGUCGCCCAGGCUGGAGUACAGUGGCGUGAUCUCAGCUCACUGCAACCUCCCCCUCCCAGGUUCAAGUGAUUGUCCUGCCUCAGCCUCCUGAGUAACUGGGAUUAGAGGUGCCUGCCACCACAACCAGUGAAUUUUUGUAUUUUCAGUAGAGACGGGGUUUCA